UACGUAGGGUGCGAGCGUUAAUCGGAAUUACUGGGCGUAAAGCGUGCGCAGGCGGUAAUGCAAGACAGAUGUGAAAUCCCCGGGCUUAACCUGGGAACUGCAUUUGUGACUGCAUUGCUGGAGUGCGGCAGAGGGGGAUGGAAUUCCGGCGUGUAGCAGUGAAAUGCGUAGAUAUGCGGAGGAACACCGAUGGCGAAGGCAAUCCCCUGGGCCUGCACUGACGCUCAUGCACGAAAGCGUGGGGAGCAAACAGG
rnacentral:rRNA from 1 species